AUUGAACGCUGGCGGCAUGCUUUACACAUGCAAGUCGAACGGUAACAGGCCUUCGGGUGCUGACGAGUGGCGAACGGGUGAGUAAUGCAUCGGAACGUGCCCAGAGGUGGGGGAUAACGCAGCGAAAGCUGUGCUAAUACCGCAUGUGAUCUGAGGAUGAAAGCGGGGGACCAGGCAGCAAUGUUUGGCCUCGCGCCUUUGGAGCGGCCGAUGUCAGAUUAGGUAGUUGGUGGGGUAAAGGCCUACCAAGCCGACGAUCUGUAGCUGGUCUGAGAGGACGACCGGCCAAAAGGGGACGGAGAAACGGCCCAAACCCCUACGGGGGGGAGAAGGGGGGAAUUUGGAGAAAGGGGGGGAAGCCUGUACAGAAAAGGCCGGGGGGGGGAAAAAGGCCUUGGGGUUGUAAACCUUUUUUGUACGGAACAAAAAGGCUUUGGCAAAUACCUGGGGCUGAUGACGGUACCGAAAGAAAAAGCACCGGCUAACUACGU
rnacentral:rRNA from 1 species